UGGGGUUGUUGUUAUUAGUUUGUUAGAAAAGAAGGAAAUUUGUGUGCAGAAGGGGAUAGUUUAAGGUUAAGGAUCAUUGUGUUCCUUAUCUUCUGCUAAACAUCAUGCCAGAACGAUAUCCGAAAACUAUGAGAUUUUUGAGCCUUGUGGGAAAUUCAUUUGGAUGCUCUGCGUCAGGCGAGCGGUUAGUUUCUGCAGCUAGA
rnacentral:misc_RNA from 1 species